UGGGGAAUUUUGGACAAUGGGCGAAAGCCUGAUCCAGCAAUGCCGCGUGUGUGAAGAAGGCCUUCGGGUUGUAAAGCACUUUUGUCCGGAAAGAAAUCCUUGGCUCUAAUACAGUCGGGGGAUGACGGUACCGGAAGAAUAAGCACCGGCUAACUACGUGCCAGCAGCCGCGGUAAUACGUAGGGUGCAAGCGUUAAUCGGAAUUACUGGGCGUAAAGCGUGCGCAGGCGGUUUGCUAAGACCGAUGUGAAAUCCCCGGGUCUCAACCUGGGAACUGCAUUGGUGACUGGCAGGCUAGAGUAUGGCAGAGGGGGGUUAGAAUUCCACGUGUAGCAGUGAAAUGCGUAGAGAUGUGGAGGAAUACCGAUGGCGAAGGCAGCCCCCUGGGCCAAUACUGACGCUCAUGCACGAAAGCGUGGGGAGCAAACAGGAUUAGAUACCCUGGUAGUCCACGCCCUAAACGAUGUCAACUAGUUGUUGGGGAUUCAUUUCCUUAGUAACGUAGCUAACGCGUGAAGUUGACCGCCUGGGGAGUACGGUCGCAAGAUU
rnacentral:rRNA from 1 species